GCGGGCGUAGCUCAGUUGGUAGAGCGUAGGUUUCCCAAACCUGAGGUCGCGGGUUCAAGCCCCGUCGCCCGCU
rnacentral:tRNA from 1 species